rnacentral:lncRNA from 1 species
AAGAUACCUAACUUUUUCUUAAAUAAAGCCAGUCUUAGAUAUAGUAUACUUUACUAUAUAGUAUAGUAAAGUCCUAUACUAUAAAAUAAAAUCAACAGAAAAUAUACUUUCAGUUAAUAUUUAAACUAAAGAAUGGAAGACAUUAAAAAAUACAACUGCUAUAUAAAUAAGUCUAAUUAAUAUACUAAAAUCUACAAUAUUUAAUAAAGGAUUUAAGGCUAAGCUAACAUCUAAUUUAUGAAGAUAGAAGAUAUCUUUGCCAUCAAGGAACACAUAAUCUUAGUGAUAAAGGUAAUCCACCUAAUUUUAUUUAUAAAAGGCUUUAAACAAUACACUGGUAGAAUUAGAGAAAUGAAAUAUAGAGAAAAAUUACAUAACAAAUUUUGGUCCAAUUUCAAUUCCUAAAGCCAUUGAUUUAGUUAUCAGCACUCGAGAAAACUUAAGAAAAAAUUUACCUUAUAUAAAUGCAAAUAAUGGUAAAU